rnacentral:rRNA from 1 species
GACGAACGCUGGCGGCGCGCUUAACACAUGCAAGUCGAACGGAAAGGCCUGCUUUCCCUUGUGGAUUGCGGGUACUCGAGUGGCGAACGGGUGAGUAACACGUGAGUGAUCUGCCCCCAACUUGGGUAUAAGCCUGGGAAACUGGGUCUAAUUCCCGAUAGGACUGCAGGGUGGUGCCUGUGGUGGAAAACGAUUUUCUAGUGGUUGGGGAUGAGCUCGCGGCCUAUCAGCUUGUUGGUGGGGUAAUGGCCUACCAAGGCGGCGACGGGUAGCCGGCCUGAGAGGGUGGACGGCCACAUUGGGACUGAGAUACGGCCCAGACUCCUGCGGGGGGCAGCAGUGGGGAAUAUUGCACAAUGGGCGGAAGCCUGAUGCAGCUACGCCGCGUGGGGGAUGACGGCCUUCGGGUUGUAAACUCCUUUCGACCGCGAGGAAGCCACCUGGUUGGAAGGGUGGUGACGGUAGUGGUAGAAGAAGCACCGGCUAACUACGUG